AUGGUAAUAGUAGUUUUGAUGAUGAUCACUACAACAAAAACUGUGUAUAGCGAUACUUUUAAAUAUCAGUACAGAUAAAAAAAAUACUGCUGGCUAAAUUACCGAUACUUUUAAAAAGUGUUGCUAUAUGUGAGUCCUUAGAUAUAUAGUGACAGUUAAAGAGUGUUGUUAUAACCUAAAAAGAGUGCUACUAAUUUACCAAUACUUAUUUAAACAUUUAGCAACUACCGGAACUCUAGCUCAUUGGCUGAGGAGGAGGAGGAGGAGGAGAGGGAAGGGCUCUUCGUCUAGGAUUUCGGUGGAUUGAGUGAGGGGAGAAGGGGAGAUGAUAAUCAACUUUUUUUUUUUUCUUUUUUCUUUGUAAUCGGGUCGAAUGGGCUAGGUGGGGUGGGUUGAGUAGAGUAACCUUUUAUUUUUAGUUGGAUUGGCUUUAUAUUUAGGCAUUAGUAGAUUUUUUCUUCAAGUUUUGGCAUAAAUAGGAUAUUUACACAAAAGUGUCCCAAACAUGUGUCCCUAGCUAUAACCUAAUUCUAUUGUAGUGUGAGAUAAACUCAUCAUGGAUAUAU
rnacentral:lncRNA from 1 species